rnacentral:pre_miRNA from 1 species
AGUGGGAUAGCUGGGUCAAAUGGUGGUUCCAUUCUCAGUUUUCCAGAUUGGCUGCACCAAUUUGCAGUCCCACUAGCAAU